ensembl:lncRNA
AUGUGGCCUGCCUGGGACCCCCCCGGCCGAGCCAGGAGGAAGGGCCGCAAGGCGGCCUGGCAACAGGAAGUUCCCAGGGACUCCAGUCUGUUCCGAGUCGCGGGGAAAGAGGAGUCUGUGGCUCCCUGGUGCCUCAGGGAGGCAUUUUGGAGAUGGGCUCCACGCAAGGCCUCGAGCCAGGAUUUCUGGGUUUGCAUCCUGGCCCAGCCACAGACGAGCCGAGCGGGGUCAGGCAAGCCACCGGGCCUCACUCCGUCCAUCUGGAGAAUGGGACAACGCUGGCGCCUCCGACACCAUGUUACCGGUGCCGCUGCUCUUGCCCCAUCACGGCGACGUCUGCCUGCUGCCUCCCGCCCCUCCAGAGGCACACGGCCUUCUACGGCUCAGCGUGUCCCCCCGCCUGGCCCCCCGGCCCGCGGGGUCGCCCUGUUCUGCCUCCCGAUUCUCUGUGGGUCAGACAGGCAGGCGGGAGCCAAAGCACUUGGAAACCUUACUGAAAUGCAGAUUCCUGGGGUGCCUGGGGGGGGGGGGGCUCAGUCGGCUCAGGUCACGAUCUCACAGUUCAUGAGAUCAAGCCCCGUGCUGGGCUCCGCGCUGACAGUGCGGAACCCGCUUGGGAUUCUCUCUCUCUUUCUCUCUCUCUCAAAAUCAAUAAAUAGACUUAAAAAAAAAAAAAAAAAGAAGAAGACAUGCAGAGUCUGACUCAGUGGGUCUGGGGGCGGGGUGGCGCUGAGAUUUCCAUCACCUAGCCCGGGGGGCAUCCUGACUCAACAGUCGUGGGUCCGAUCGCCCGGCACCGAGCUAGCGGGCUGGGAGGCAGAGAGAGGACAGACUCAGCCAACCACUGCCCGUGCUGUCGAGGGCACGGCCCCUCCAUCAGUGGGGGAGGAGUCGAUACGGCCCCUCAACAGUGUGAGUCCUGGCUGCCCACCCCCCCCCCGCCAGAGCAGACCCGGGCUGGUAUAUAGCCGGCUCGAGGUCACUGGUCAGAUUCAAGGGCCAUUAUGGCGGAAAGGGCGCCUUUGGGUGGGGGUGGGGGGGCUCUGUCCAUCCCCAACCCCAGCCAGCAGCUCCAUCCCCGGGCACAGCUCGGCUGCCCCUACUUCUCCCUCGCGUGGGACCCCGGGCCUCCGGCUGUCGCCCCCGCACCCCACCCCACUCGUUCAUCCGUUCUACAUGCAUCCAUUAAGCGCCUGCUGUGUGCUGCAGUGACAUCCCCACUGCUGCUGCCCCCACAAUUGCCCUUCUUGGGACAUCCUUCCCUUGCUCACCUGGGAUGGGCCGUCCGCCCCUAAGCGUGAAAGGAUCUGGCCUGGGUAUCUGGGUAUCUGGGUUGCCCAGUGCAAUCGCGAGGUCCUUAGAAGAGGGAGGCCGGAGAGUCAGAAGCAGAGAGAGGGAAAAUGAGGCCGCUGGGAGGCUGGCCUUAAAGACGGAGGGCGAGGCGGCAGGCCAAGGAAGGCAGUGGCCCCUGGAAGCUGGAAAAAGUGGGGGCACGGAUUUCCCCUGGGGCGCCCAGAAGGAACGAGCUAUGCUCCCGGCCUCAGCUGGCCCGCGAGACCCGUCAGGCGCCCGACCCGCAGCGGCGUAAGAGGAUACGUCUGUGAUGCUCGAAGCCACCGUGACCGUGGCCGGUUGUCACAGCAGCCACAGGACACUCGUACCCUGCCCUCGACGUCCCCUGGGGUCCUG